AAAAAUCACAAUACUUUAAAGUUACAGAAUCUAAUUCUGCAUCAUUUUCCUCAUUCACUGCCUUCAUCUCCAUCCUCACCAACCACAUUACCAGCAUCAACACCUUCACCAACCUCAGCAGCAUCACCAUCCUCAUCAACCUCUCCAACAACAUCAUCAAUAGAACCGCUAUCAGGUCAGUGUUCAGUACCCACAGUGCUCUGCUGUCCUGGACAUGAUAAUGGAUGCUACCGUGGGUGUUUUUGUGAUGAGGUUUGCCUCACCAUCGGUGACUGCUGUCCUGACUACAAUCAGACAUGCUUUGGAUGUAAGACUAAAUACUCUUAACACAAAUCAUUCAUCUAAGACGGGGGUAGGCAAGUUC
rnacentral:lncRNA from 1 species